UUCCAAAUUCUUUUUUCGUAUAUUCAACAUUUAGCUUUAAUUUUGCGUUCAUUAAUCUGCGGAAAACUACUCUAUUCUUAGAAACAUAUAGGCUGGCGAGCAAACUGUCUAUACAGCAACCCGACCGGUAACACACCUAACUCUUUGCAGUUGGAAACUGAUGAACCUGGUAAAACAUUUUUAUUUAAGCAUAUCCCAACAGCAGUUAAUUUAAUUUUUACACCGGAGUCGUUUG